CGAUUGCUAAUGCCGGAUGAUAUAUAAAACGAUACGUGUUUUAUNUUAAAAGGAGCCUUUAAAGCUUCACUUUGAGAUGAGCCCGCGGCGUAUUAGCUAGUUGGUGAGGUAAUGGCCCACCAAGGCAACGAUGCGUAGCCGGCCUGAGAGGGUGAUCGGCCACAUUGGGACUGAGACACGGCCCAAACUCCUACGGGAGACAGCAGUUAGGAAUAUUCGUCAAUGGGGGAAACCCUGAACGAGCAAUGCCGCGUGAGUGAUGACGGUCCUUUGGAUUGUAAAACUCUGUUGUUAGGGAAGAACGACCUGUAUAGGAAAUGAUGCAGGAGUGACGGUACCUUUCAAGAAAGCUCCGGCUAACUACGUG
rnacentral:rRNA from 1 species